UACGUAGGGUGCGAGCGUUGUCCGGAAUUAUUGGGCGUAAAGAGCUCGUAGGCGGUGUGUCGCGUCGGCCGUGAAAACCUGCAGCUUAACUGUGGGCUUGCGGUCGAUACGGGCAUCACUGGAGUUCGGCAGGGGAGACUGGAAUUCCUGGUGUAGCGGUGAAAUGCGCAGAUAUCAGGAGGAACACCGGUGGCGAAGGCGGGUUGCUGGGCUGACACUGACGCUGAAGCGCGAAAGCUAGGGGAGCGAACGGG
rnacentral:rRNA from 1 species